rnacentral:rRNA from 1 species
AUUGAACGCUGGCGGCAGGCUUAACACAUGCAAGUCGAACGAGUGGCGGACGGGUGAGUAAUGCUUGGGAAUCUAGCCUAUGGAGGGGGCUAACUACUGGAAACUGUCGCUAAUACCGCAUACCAUAGGCUGAGCCCAAGUGGGAUUAGCUAGUGGGUGGGGUAAAGGCUCACCAAGCCGACGAUCUCUAGCUGGUCUGAGAGGAUGAACAGCCACACUGGGACUGGACAACGGCCCAGAUUCCUACGGGAGGCAGCGGUGGGGAAUAUUGCCAAAUGGGGGCAAUCUGGACGCGGCCAUGCCGCGUGUAUGAGGAAGGCCUUGGGUUGGUAAAGUCCUUUCAGCGGGGAGGCGUUAACGACAGAAGAAGCACCGGCUAACUCCGUGCCAGCAGCCGCGGUAAUUC